UGGGGAAUAUUAGUCAAUGGGGGAAACCCUUAACUAGCAAUGCCGCGUGAAUGACGAAGGCCUUCGGGUUGUAAAGUUCUUUUAUCAGGGAAGAUAAUGACGGUACCUGAUGAAUAAGCCACGGCUAACUACGUGCCAGCAGCCGCGGUAAUACGUAGGUGGCAAGCGUUGUCCGGAUUUACUGGGUGUAAAGGGCGAGUAGGCGGGACUGUAAGUCAGAUGUGAAAUACCGGGGCUCAACCCCGGGGCUGCAUUUGAAACUGCGGUUCUUGAGUGAUGGAGAGGCAGAUGGAAUUCCCAGUGUAGCGGUAAAAUGCGUAGAUAUUGGGAGGAACACCGGUGGCGAAGGCGGUCUGCUGGACAUUAACUGACGCUGAGGCGCGAAAGUGUGGGGAGCAAACA
rnacentral:rRNA from 1 species